CUAAAUGAUUUCUCAGGUCUCCUCUGGCUCUUAACAUGAGAGAAAUGAUGGUGAGGUGGAAGGAGGUCUGGGCCAGAGAACACUCAGAAUCCUGGCUCAGAUCGUCACGUGGCUGGUGAACAGCAGAGAGAAGAGAGUGAACAAGUCACCUGUCAUCCUGUCUGAUGAGGCAAGCAUGGCUUACAGGGAGCAGAGCUCAAGGACGGGACAGCUCCCAAAGGCCGUUUGUUUUUUUUGCCCUGCUAGCCCAGCACACCAGCAGUUUCUUCCUUCACACUACCACCGAAGCAGCCCUGUUAAAGGGGCAAUGGGGAAAGGACCUAGGCCGAUGUGAACAGGAAACACAGACUGUCCCUGCAGCGGCCCUGAGGAAGCAACAGCCACAUGGUGUGGAAUCAGGAAGGGUCCCAGGAGAGGACUGGCUAGCCCAGGCCUGGAGGAGACAAGGCGGUUCGAGCCAAAAAUAAAAAACAGGCCCCAGCAACUUGAUGCUCGUUCUCAUGACCUUGGGCUGGCACAGAGCGUGAAGGGAGCCUAGUCCUAAGCACAUGAACUC